AUCUGUCCCAACUUCUAUAAAUAAGGGGGGAUCCUUCAGGACAAUAUGGAGCAGGUGUCUAACUUUUGGUGCCCUGGAGUGCCCUCAAGAAGUCAGUUGUGCUAAGGCUGGGCUCUGUGAACAUCCCCCAAAACCUGCACACCUGUGCACAACCACUAGGGCUGUUCAGCCGCCAGGGCAGGAGAAAGAUCACUGAGGUAGCUUCAGUUUAUGUUAACUGAAGCUUUCCGCAGUACAAAGCAAAGAAGCUAUAUUGCCUCUUCCAUGUAUGCCCCUUUCACAUGCAUUUUUUCUAUAAAAACAAACAAAAAAAGUGACAAAGUCUAACCAUAACUAUAAUUAUUAGGCAUUUGACUACAGCAGUAAUUAUUGCUGGCUAGCAGGACAUUACAAAGGUUCCAAAAUCAAUUGCAAAAUAAUUUAACUUUGCUUUAAAAGGAAAGCAGCUAUUCUCCUGCGAGUGCUUUGGUCUGAGGCCCCUACCAGCAUCCAGGGAUCCCAGACUUGCAAUUUGCCGAGGACAGCCCUUUACCCCAAUUUGAAUUAGAGGAUUUCAUAUGAAUCUGAUCUUAGGUAGCGACAACAAAAGAGCCCAUUGUAGCAGCCUGACAGCUAGGGAGAAACAGCCCCGAGCACAAAGGGUUACGUCUGGGCGGGGAAGGAGCAGGGGAGCGGAGGGGGGCAGCGGGGGUGAGUCAUAAAAAAGGGGCCUCCUGCUGCAGCCACAGAGCGAGGGCCCUGAACCAGGAGCAGAGUAAAUGUAGAACGGGAGGCCUACUGCGUUACAGGGCUUCCAGGCAUUCAUACUGGAGGAGUGGAGUGGAGGCUGCCAUCGUACAUAGCCAACGCUGGUAAAGAGGGCUGGGCUGCGUACUCAAGCUACUACGUGUAAGUGCAUCUGCUCACUCUGGUGCUGUGCCAUCAAUUUCUGCUAAGAAUCUGGUACCUGAAAGGAAAAGCUGCAGCUAUACACGCAGCCAGGCACUGCCUGUGCUCCAUCAUCCUUAGGGGACACUCACAGCACUGAGAGGCACCUCCCUCAGCCUACACCACCACGCUCCUCUGCUGAUCAGCACAAACCAAGGCCCCCGUUCCAGCCCUGAUCCUUAAACUCAAUUUUUGUCUAACCCCACUUGUAAUCCACCUCCGAUUUCCUCCAGAACAGAGAACUGGAUUUUAUGGGUGCUUCAUGAAGUGGACAAAUGUUGUUCUUGUAGAGGUAAAAGUCAGACAAAGAGCAGUUUGCUUAGGAUCCAAAAAGAUCAAUACGUGUGAAUCCAGACAGAUCUGACUGGCAUCCUGACAUCCUGCAUCAGGCAGAUAUAUAACAACUGGAAGCACAAAACAGAAGACAAUACUCUAUCUUGAGCUAGAAAUUGAUUUUUCUGGACUAGAGACAGACCCCAUCAUUACAGACUCAGCAAGAAUGUCAUUUGAUAACUUGAAGUAAGCAGGAAAUAUUUUUCCAUGGGUAAAAGAAUGUAUUCUCGAUACAACAGAAAACACAUGGUGCACACACUUGGAUGUGAAAUUCCACAAGUGAGACUGCAGAGUGCAGGAAUGCCCGAAGGUAAAUGAAAUGCCUCGACUGAUUCUUUUUGACAAUUCUUCUACAUCCUCUGCAGCUAAACCCUACAUCAUAAUAGAAAUAACUUAACUAGAGUAUAGAUAACUGGAGGCUAACAUGCACGGGAUGCUACAGCAGUUUAAAUCACUAUCACAUUCCUCAAGCUCUUUUUGACUAGUCACUUCAGUACCUAUGGAUUAGUUUUACUGUUUUCUCACUAUCUAACAAAUCAGUUACAACUCGGCACAAUCAACUCCAUCUCUUCAUUAAAAUGCUUUAAAUACUCAUUUAGAUUUCAAAUUAGUGUGCACUGCCAAUUUACGUAGUCCCAUUGAUCAAGAACCCAAUAUGCAAUUUAUUAAACAAGAGAUACUUGCUUUAGUAGUUAAGAAUUUUCUGUUCCUGCGUUCAUACGUAGCUUAUCAGGACUGGGUCCCUAAGCCAACACGUUGGUGACGCAGAUAUUUGGGACCUGACACAGCACCGAGUUGGCAAA